rnacentral:rRNA from 1 species
UACAGAGGUCCCAAGCGUUGUUCGGAUUCAUUGGGCGUAAAGGGUGCGUAGGCGGCGCGGUAAGUCGGGUGUGAAAUCUCGGAGCUUAACUCCGAAACUGCAUUCGAUACUGCGGUGCUUGAGGACUGGAGAGGAGACUGGAAUUCAUGGUGUAGCAGUGAAAUGCGUAGAGAUCAUGAGGAAGACCAGUGGCGAAGGCGGGUCUCUGGACAGUUCCUGACACUGAGACACGAAGGCCAGGGGAGCAAACGGGG